AAUCAACGCUGGCGGCGUGCCUAACACAUGCAAGUCGAACGAGAAAGUGGAGCAAUCCAUGAGUACAGUGGCGCACGGGUGAGUAACACGUGACUAACCUACCCUUGAGUGGGGGAUAACUGAGGGAAACCUUAGCUAAUACCGCAUAAUACCUACGGGUCAAAGGAGCAAUUCGCUUUAGGAGGGGGUCGCGGCCGAUUAGUUAGUUGGCGGGGUAAUGGCCCACCAAGACGAUGAUCGGUAUCCGGCCUGAGAGGGCGCACGGACACACUGGAACUGAAACACGGUCCAGACUCCUACGGGAGGCAGCAGUGGGGAAUUUUGCGCAAUGGGGGAAACCCUGACGCAGCAACGCCGCGUGGAGGAUGAAGUCCUUCGGGACGUAAACUCCUUUCGAUCGGGACGAUUAUGACGGUACCGGAAGAAGAAGCCCCGGCUAACUUCGUGCCAGCAGCCGCGGUAAUACGAGGGGGGCGAGCGUUGUUCGGAAUUAUUGGGCG
rnacentral:rRNA from 1 species